GUGUAACGUGAGGAAAUUAUAAAUUAUUUUUUAUUGGUAAAACGUAACCAAAAUGCUUUCGUGUGCUUUUAUGCGUUGCACAAACCAUUCUAAAAGGAAAAAAAAAUCGCAGGGAAUCACAUUUCACUCUUUUCCUGGAGAUGAACUUGUCAGACACAAAAGGCGUAUUGUAGUGCGUAAACAACGACAAGAGCCAGACUGGACGCCUCGACUUUUCUCGCUAUAGUGAGGGGAAAAGUUUUGUAAAUAACUAUUAUUCUAAGUAUAGGAAAGUACCCUAUCGUAAGCAAUUUUAAUAAAGUUUGUCUUAAAGAAAAAAUAUGAGGUCACUAUUUUAGUUCCAUCAAUUUCUGCCAUCUAUUCUAUUUUCAAAAAGUAAUAGUGUGUUGUGAGUGAGAUUAGGGUUGCAAAUAG